CACUUGGAAACAGGGGCUAAUACCGCAUAACCAUAGUUACCGCAUGGUAACUAUGUAAAAGGUGGCUAUGCUACCGCUUUUGGAUGGGCCCGCGGCGCAUUAGCUAGUUGGUGGGGUAAAGGCUUACCAAGGCAAUGAUGCGUAGCCGAACUGAGAGGUUGAUCGGCCACAUUGGGACUGAGACACGGCCCAAACUCCUACGGGAGGCAGCAGUAGGGAAUCUUCCACAAUGGGCGAAAGCCUGAUGGAGCAACGCCGCGUGGGUGAAGAAGGUCUUCGGAUCGUAAAACCCUGUUGUUAGAGAAGAAAGUGCGUGAGAGUAACUGUUCACGUUUCGACGGUAUCUAACCAGAAAGCCACGGCUAACUACGUGCCAGCAGCCGCGGUAAUACGUAGGUGGCAAGCGUUAUCCGGAUUUAUUGGGCGUAAAGGGAACGCAGGCGGUCUUUUAAGUCUGAUGUGAAAGCCUUCGGCUUAACCGGAGUAGUGCAUUGGAAACUGGGAGACUUGAGUGCAGAAGAGGAGAGUGGAACUCCAUGUGUAGCGGUGAAAUGCGUAGAUAUAUGGAAGAACACCAGUGGCGAAAGCGGCUCUCUGGUCUGUAACUGACGCUGAGGUUCGAAAGCGUGGGUAGCAAACA
rnacentral:rRNA from 1 species